CAGUACAUAAAAUACACAUAGAAUGACACAUACACACAGACAAAGCAGAUACAACAGCAAGAGGAGUAGAGUAAUCAUAAGCACCAUUAUACAAAUGCCUAAAGAACAUUUUGUGCUUUGCCCUCAUGACAAGCCUUGCUGAAAGACACUGUAGUUACAGAGAGAGGUUUUAUUUCAGCUCGAACAGUUUCAAGACAUUGUUUUGGUGAGAAUGUAAAUGGAGUAGAAAUGCCCAGAGGUGUUUUUACUGUCAAGGGUUGAAUGCUGGUAAAACACGUGAAAAUUUUUUUGUGAGUUUAGUGUGUCUUGUGGAAAGUGUAUUUUACAAUUACACAUGUUGACAUGUGUGUGUGUAGUUGUACAUGCUUUUUGUGUACAGGCUAAAUGUAAAAAUGUAAUCUUAUGUACUGUAAUUAUCGUGUUGACUGCUUUGCAUCGAUGUUCUUGAGGGGCAAUGAUCAAUACGCCAUCACAGAGUCUUUGACGUACCGCUCCUGUAUAUGUGUUUGUAGCCUGAAGCUCACAAGUGUUCUCACAUUAUAAGCGAUUCUCUCUGUUUGUUACGUUGUGUCUGUCAUUUUUGAAUGUUAAAUAUUUAAUUUUUGUUUAAGUAAAUAUUAAAUUGAAAAACAUACUCAUUUGGUUUUAGAUGUUUAUUUUUUCUUUUGCACUGAUUGAACAGCGACUGGUGUAACAGGGUUUAUAUGGAUUGUUCCACUUGCAUGAUGUAGGAUUUGUUAUUUUGUAUGGUUGGCUCAAUGGCACCCUCUCUCGGGUUGAGUUUAUAUAUUCAAUGAGCAAUGUUAUGGCUUAACCACUCAGUGAGAGACGUGCCUGCUGUGAGUAGCUGUGUACAGCGCUGUGUACAAUUCUAUGUAUUAACAGGGGCGUAGCAGCAAGUUCUGGGCCCUGUACACUCUCAAUGUCCGUGAAUCCCUAUCCAUGCCAGUGCAUGAGGCGCAUGAGCAAAACUAGGAUUUUCAUGUGGCCCUAUCCCUACUCGGGCCCUGGGUAGUCAGGUCCACUCCCCCCCCAACUUCCACGCCCAUGUGUAUUAAUGUUGCUAUUACCACUUACUGGUCUCAGGAAUUCACUACAGCAUGAUUGUCGACAUGUAUGAGAUUAUUAAGUGUAAUUCAUAUGAGCUAACAUGUCAAUAACAUAUUAAAAUGAAUGCGAUAGCUAACUAGCCUUUACUCUUCUUGGUGUGUUACCCAAGCAUGCUGCUGUACAAGCCAACCCAUGGGCCCCUGAGGGAACAUGAGUGAAGAAAAUAAAUAAAAAAAUAUUCUCCAGUUUUUUUCUCGAGAUCUCACAAAACUAUUGCAGGCUCUUGUAAUAGUUUUGCAUGUCCUUGUAAAACUAUUGCGAGAUCUUGCAAAUGUUAUCUGAGUUCUUGGUCAGUGUAUUACUUUCGUUUUAAUUUAACACUAAAAUUGGAACGUACGCAGCUAUGGGAAAGGUUCAUUGAAUUUUAUUUUGAAUACAUUUUCUGCCCACCUUGUCCCUUUGCAUGCACAUAAUGUCCCCGUUAGGGAUGUCCCACGGUCAUCCCAGUGUUACAUGGGAUGACCAUGGGAAUUCUUUCAAAUUGUCCUCCACGACUCGUGUUUCAUAAGAAAACAGUGUCUGCGUCACAGAACCGAUUCAAUAUCUUUUUAUCGGAGGCCAAUCUCAAGAAAAGAUCCAAUGAACCUCUAAUAAUAAUAAUGCAUCCGAUUUUUAUAGCGCAUUAUCAGAGACCCUCAAAGCACUUUACAUUGGAUACAUCAUUCAUUCACUCACACAGUCACACCUCUGUGGUGGUAAACUACCUUAGUUGUCACAGUUGCUCUGGGGCAGACUGACGGAAACGUGGCUGCCAGUUUGCACCUACGGCCUCUCCAACCACCACCACACAACACUCACAUUCAUACACCAGUGGAGGACACACACUGACUGAGAGCAAGGUGGGUUAAGUGUCUUGCCCAAGGACACAACGGACAGACUAGGGAUAGGGGGGAAUCAAACCGCCAACCUUUCAGUUAUUGGCCGACUGCUCUACCUCCUGAGCUACUGCCGCCCACGAGUGCGUACGUUCCAUCGUCUGGGUUGACCUGACAUGGAGGAAAUACACUGAUCUAGAAUCCUCUUUCUUAUAACCCUUUGACAACUUUGCCAGAUCUCACAAUAGUUUUGCAGGAGCACAGAAAAGAUCUCGAGAAAAUUCACAUCCAGCCCUCUGGAUGUCCCUGCCCGGCCCUUUGUGAGGUCGGUCAAUCAAAUCAUCAACAUGCUAUAAAAGUGUGUUACUUUUAUCUUGAAAAACUUUGCCGUUGUUUUAUUUCGAUUUGGACGCAAGUGUGUACAUUGUAGAUCUGCAUUUGUGAACAGAGACAAGUUUUAACAUCUGCGAAAUAUAAGUAGACGCCUUAUAGUUGCCAAGUCCGCUUAUUAUAAACAAUUUUAGGCUUGUUUUUCUCAAAAGUUGCUUGGAAAAUUCGUGAGUUGCGGGUGCGCUUUUUUGGGCUUGUCAUUAACUCGUAGUUGCUUAUUUGGGCUUGAUUUUCUGUAUGUGUGAACCCCCAACCCCCAAAUUGAAGUUAAAGUUAUUGUUCAGGUUUUUUAUGUGGCCUCAUGUAAAAAUUAAUUGCCCACCCCUGCUCAAGGGGCUCUGUACCAACCAUAUGACUGACUAUAAUUUAUUCUGUUCCUGUUCAGAUAAUGAACUGUGGAUACAGACAGACAAGCAUCCUGCGAAUCUUUAAAACACAACCCACAUCCAAGAGGUUUACUUAAUCAGCCAGGUGCUGUGAAGGGCAAUUAAGCAUGGUUACACUAGCCUGGUAAAUGAUCAAUCAAUACAUUCCAGCUAUAGGAAGAAGAAAACGAGGUACGGUAGCUGUGGUACAUUCAAUCCGCUAUAAGUAACUUCUCCACAGUGAAAACUGUGAUGACCAUCUUGAGGGGCUUGAAAUUUAAAGAAGUAAUUAAAGGCCCUAGGGUGCUUCUUGGUUGAAGUAGGAGUAAUCACACGUCUCCCAGGAUAUAUUAUAAUUAGGGUAAGUAAUGACUGACUCUGUAGAAAGCCCUUCUAUAAGAGAAUGUGAACAACAGUAAAAUGUCUUCUUAUUCCUUUGAAACACACUUUCAGUAUGGUCUACCAUGUAGGUGACAGAGUGAGGCCUUAAAUGUACAUCCUUUCAUUUUCACUCACAGUCAGACUUUUGUCUGGUUGUGAUGUCAAAGAAAUGACUGUCAGGUGGCAGACAGAGAGAGCCUUAUAAUUUAAGAGAAGCAGAACAUUGUCAAGUAGAUUUGAUAUGAAUGCUCAGUGGCGAGACUGGAAAGAUUUGAUUGCCUUUAAAAAAAGAGAAAAACUUGGAUGAAGGCUCAUCAUGUAUAGAUAAUAAGCAGACUACAUCACCACCCCCAGAUGUCUGUCCAAUAAACAGUGUAAUUAAGCAAAUAAACAAGCUUUUCAGACCAAACAGACCAGACUGAAAGCACAUUGAGAUUUAUUGUUGUGAGCUACAAUGUGAACUCAGUCUAUGCAGUUGAAGGUCACAACCUAGAAGAACAUUCGAUGUGGCACAAAACUUAAAGUACUUUUGCAAAGCAUAAUCCUAUGAAGACCAUAAAAACUCUAAUAACACAUACGUUCAUUUCUGUCUGGUCCAUCAGGUUAAAUUUCAUUAACUGCUUUUCACCCUCUCUUUGUCCCUCUGUUCUGUGUAUUAUCCUUCUCUCACUAUGCUCUCAUCUGCUCCUCUUUGUGAUAUUUAAUAACACGGUACUUGCUCAUGAUUGCACAGUGAAGUUUAUUGUCUCUUGCUUAGGUGUCUGGUAAUGUACAUCUAAAGCUACAGUGUACCGAGGACACACUCUGACUGAGGUCAUUUCAGCAUCCGUACCUUCGAUAGCACUCAACUUUUUUUUAUUUUUACACAAGUUGUCUUAUUCAUUUUCAGAACUGCUAAAGCCAACUGAAUCCAGCCUUUCUUCUUUUUCAGAGGAGUGCUUUGAUUUUCUUAAAAAUGUUUUUGCAUUUUCUGUUUCCCCACCAUGAGCAGCCUUACGACACAUUGAUUUUCACAUCCAAGCACUCCAGACUCUCUAAAAGAUCUCAAGGCAGGGACACUCAAGUUUAGUAACCUGCUGUUGAACUGGUGCUGGGGGAAAUUGGAAUUCACAAGGCAGCUAGACUUUUCCUCCAGCAGAUGGCAGAGACCUUACUGACCUUUUGUAGACUGAAGAAUUAACUACUACAAAUGAAAUGCUUCACAUAAUCUUUGAAGAAAACAAGAUAAAUACCCUAACCUUGGGUGAGUAUAAGGAUGGUUUGCAUGUAAAAUUCAUAACCCUCCAUUUCCCGUAGGUCAGAAAACAGGACUCAUUUUCAGCCCUGGAGUUUCAUGGCUCAGACCAGACAACUUCAGUUCACGACCUUUGCAUGAGAUAUGCAGUAUAAUUUUGUCCCUACUGGUAUGAAAGUCUUAAAUAAAGCACAAUAACCUUGUAA
rnacentral:lncRNA from 1 species